CAGUCGCCGCGGUAAUACGAAGGGUGCAAGCGUUAAUCGGAAUUACUGGGCGUAAAGCGUGCGUAGGCGGUGAGUUAAGUCUGCUGUGAAAUCCCCGGGCUCAACCUGGGAAUGGCAGUGGAUACUGGCUCGCUAGAGUGUGUCAGAGGAUGGUGGAAUUCCCGGUGUAGCGGUGAGAUGCGUAGAGAUCGGGAGGAACAUCAGUGGCGAAGGCGGCCAUCUGGGACAACACUGACGCUGAGGCACGAAAGCGUGGGGAGCAAACAGGAUUAGAUACCCCAGUAGUCCCUGUCUCUUAUAC
rnacentral:rRNA from 1 species